UCUGGGGUAGUUUAAUGGUAAAACGCUUGACUGUUAAUCAAGUUAGUGGAGGUUCGAUUCCUCCCCCCAGAG
rfam:Parcubacteria (Kuenenbacteria) bacterium GW2011_GWA2_42_15 TV02_C0033, whole genome shotgun sequence.